AUCAUUCCUGAUGCCAGGGGGUGCCUGGGGCUCCACAGGACGGGGUAAACCAUUCCUGAUGCCAGGGGGCGCCUGGGGGUGCCACCAUGUUUCAUGGUUUGUUUACACAGCAGCCGUCUCAACCUGCCAACAAGAUGUAACACAGGUGGAGGAUGAACCCACUCUGAACUGGUAUUUGGUUUCCAAUGGAGAUAUUCUAUUGGCUCAGAUAAACUUGUACUACGUUUCCCAUGGAGCUAUUCUAUUGGCUCAGAUAAACUGGUACUAUGUUUCCCAUGGAGCUAUUCUAUUGGCUCAGAUAAACUGGUACUACGUUUUCCAUGGAGCUAUUCUAUUGGCUCAGAUAAACUGGUACUACGUUUCCCAUGGAGCUAUUCUAUUGGCUCAGAUAAACUGGUACUACGUUUCCCAUGGAGGUAUUCUAUUGGCUCAGAUAAACUGGUACUACGUUUCCCAUGGAGCUAUUCUAUUGGCUCAGAUAAACUGGUACUACGUUUUCCAUGGAGCUAUUCUAUUGGCUCAGAUAAACUGGUACUACGUUUUCCAUGGAGCUAUUCUAUUGGCUCAGAUAAACUGGUACUAUGUUUCCCAUGGAGAUAUUCUAUUGGCUCAGAAAAACUGGUACUACGUUUUCCAUGGAGCUAUUCUAUUGGCUCAGAUAAACUGGUACUACGUUUCCCAUGGAGCUAUUCUAUUGGCUCAGAUAAACUGGUACUACGUUUUCCAUGGAGCUAUUCUAUUGGCUCAGAUAAACUGGUACUACGUUUCCCAUGGAGCUAUUCUAUUGGCUCAGAUAAACUGGUACUACGUUUCCCAUGGAGAUAUUCUAUUGGCUCAGAUAAACUGGUACUACGUUUCCCAUGGAGCUAUUCUAUUGGCUCAGAUAAACUGGUACUACGUUUCCCAUGGAGCUAUUCUAUUGGCUCAGAUAAACUGGUACUACGUUUCCCAUGGAGCUAUUCUAUUGGCUCAGAUAAACUGGUACUAUGUUUUCCAUGGAGCUAUUCUAUUGGCUCAGAUAAACUGGUACUACGUUUUCCAUGGAGCUAUUCUAUUGGCUCAGAUAAACUGGUACUAUGUUUCCCAUGGAGAUAUUCUAUUGGCUCAGAAAAACUGGUACUACGUUUCCCAUGGAGCUAUUCUAUUGGCUCAGAUAAACUGGUACUACGUUUCCCAUGGAGAUAUUCUAUUGGCUCAGAAAAACUGGUACUACGUUUCCCAUGGAGCUAUUCUAUUGGCUAAAAAUAAACUGGUACUACCAUGGGGAGGGGGGGGGGGGAGUAUUUAUGUCUGUAAUAAAGCCCAUUUGUGGGGGAAAAAACAAUU
rnacentral:lncRNA from 1 species